rnacentral:rRNA from 1 species
GACGAACGCUGGCGGCGUGCUUAACACAUGCAAGUCGAACGGAAAGGCCCUGCUUGCCGGGUACUCGAGUGGCGAACGGGUGAGUAACACGUGGGUGAUCUGCCCUGCACUUCGGGAUAAGCCUGGGAAACUGGGUCUAAUACCGGAUAGGAGCCAUUUUUAGUGUGAUGGUUGGAAAGUUUUUUCGGUGUAGGAUGAGCUCGCGGCCUAUCAGCUUGUUGGUGGGGUAAUGGCCUACCAAGGCGGCGACGGGUAGCCGGCCUGAGAGGGUGGACGGCCACAUUGGGACUGAGAGACGGCCCAGACUCCUACGGGAGGCAGCAGUGGGGAAUAUUGCACAAUGGGCGCAAGCCUGAUGCAGCGACGCCGCGGGGGGGAGGACGGCCUUAGGGUUGUAAACGCCUUUCGCUAGGGACGAAGCUUUUUGUGACGGUACCUAGAGAAGAAGCACCGGCUAACUACGUG